AAGUCGUAACAAGGUCUCCGUAGGUGAACCUGCGGAGGGAUCAUUAACACGUAUACACGUAUCAACCAACUGUGAACUUAUAGUAUGUAUAUAAAACACUAUGUAACAAUUUAUUGUUCUCUUGUUCUAUAUAUGUAUGCUCUACCUAAAUCAGAUCGUAUUGUUAGUUAUAAUCAUUGUGGAAGGUUACAUAUGCAAAUAUGUAGCUGGUUAUAGCUAGAGAGUGUUUAAUCACUCAAAUCUUUCUGAGUUAGGCUUUUACCCAUAGCACUUUCACACUAGCAAAACCCUUUUCACCCUUCUUAUAAAUUGUAUGACUGAAAAAAUAUUGUUGUAUAUGUAAUGUAUACAUAAAUAUUGAUAUUCACAAACUAAAAGCACAACUCUUAGCAACGGAUAUCUUGGUUUUC
rnacentral:misc_RNA from 1 species